UGUCAUCAUAGUUACAGUUAUGAUUUACCUGCCAUCAGAGGCACCUUAUAAGUAACACGACAACGGGGAAGCAAACCAAAAAAAAAGAAUACAAAAUACAAAACCACCCCGUAAAAACCUAAAUGGAAACCCGAAAAAGCGGGCACGCGUCAGUUGGCAACGAUCCCUAACAAUCCGUUGGAAAAACAUAAACGAGUUGAGCGCACUAGACAAAUCCCAUAAGCAAAUUCGGUUCACGCAGUUACCCCCCGUCGCAGUGCGGAGACCCCGAGACUUCAGGCCCCGGAUCCCAACCCGUAUCCGCAUCCGCAUCCGAAUCCGAAUCCGAGCAGGACGAGGACUAUGAAUCUGAAGGACUACCGCACUGGAGUGCAACCCUGUUACUUUCCAAAUCAUCUCUCAGUCAGCUUGUUUCGUAAUCGGAAUUGACAGUAAAACACCGUGCGCACACUUUCAAAAUUCCCAGUGCGAAGGGGGUUUGCUCCGUCGAUGUGGAAAUGGAUGUGGAUGAGCAUUUUUGACAUGGCAGACGAUGUCGACGAGUGCCAUCAAUCGUUUAGACCACGACGCCGGGCGUUGGCGAUGGCGAUAGCGACAAAUCUGAUAUGAGAUUGGGAGUCGGAUGAGGAUGCGGAUGCGGAUGAGGAUGAGGAUGCGGACUCAGAUGCGUCCCCGGUCGAGGAUUAUGUGCGUGUAAAGCGCACACCCACAAAAAUGCCACCCCUUCCGCCAGCUACCUACCCAGCUACCAAGUCCCGAGGGACACUCAAAGCAGCCGGAAGUGGUUAUGCUAAAUAAGAAAUGUAAAUUUAGUUAAUUUUCUAACAAAAUAUGUUUUACUCGAAUGUAAACUAUUUCUAGGUGUAUAAGAACAAUCCACAUAUUAUGUGCUAAGAUAUUUAAAUCGAUAAAGCUAUUAAGCUUUAGUUUUGAUAACUCCCAGUUUGAUUUGAGCCAUCUAUUUCUUCCAGUGCAUCUUGACUGAUGUGAAUGGGCAUUGCGGUCAGAAGAAGUUGUGGGCAUUUGGGCGCCGGAAUGGAAAAGGGUUUGCAAACUAGCGGAAGCAGUUUGACCAGAGAUCGAAUACCACCCCCCUUUUUCGCGCAGUGUAGUUGUCCGUUCGCCAGUCCUUCGUAUCAAUCAAAACAACGCGAACGGAGGCGCAGCGAAGUGAACGGCCAGCGGGACGGACAAGCGGAAGGACGGACGGACGUUAGCCAAAGAUUUGACAUGGAUCAGUAAUCUAAUGCCAGAUUACGUAUACGCAUGGCGGGACCCGCAAACUUUGGACCCUGCCAACCAACCAUCUAACCAUCCAGCCAUCCAUCCAUCCAGCCAACCAACCAACCUCCUUGUCGUCUGUCUGCGGCUAUGUGGCUGCGUACCCCAAAUGCCACGCCCCCCUCCCGGACAGCAGCCGCCCGCAGUGUCCCACUACGCCCUCUUGGAAGCCGAAAGAGCGACAAACGCAUCCGAAACCAAACCAAACCAAAACCAAAACCGAACUGAGCUCAGCUGAACUGAACUGAACUGAACUAUAGCGAACCGAGAGCCGGCAUGAAUGAAUGGAUGAAUGAGCUCAGCCCGGCUCAGCGCAGCUCCGAGGAAAUCCCGAGGUACUGGGAGCUGGGAUCGAAGAGAUGAGAGCCUGGGAAAGGCGCAGGUGCACUGAGAUAAACUGGGGGGGAGUUUGAGUAU